UUCGCCUACGGGGGGCAGCAGUGGGGAAUAUUGCACAAUGGGGGAAACCCUGAUGCAGCGACGCCGCGUGAGUGAAGGAGUACCCCGGUACGUAAAGCUCUAUCAGCAGGGAAGAAAAUGACGGUACCUGAGUAAGAAGCCCCGGCUAACUACGUGCCAGCAGCCGCGGUAAUACGUAGGGGGCAAGCGUUAUCCGGAUUUACUGGGUGUAAAGGGAGCGUAGACGGCAGUGCAAGUCUGGAGUGAAAGGCGGGGGCUCAACCCCCGGACUGCUCUGGAAACUGUACGGCUGGAGUGCAGGAGAG
rnacentral:rRNA from 1 species